UUUGCAUCUAAAUGCAAAUGUACUUUUGGACUAGUUGGUGGUGAGUAAUUGAUUGGGUGGGUAAGGAAUGCUCAAAGGAAGAAUUUGCUUUCGAGAAGAGAUUAGAAAACCCCAAUGAUAGAGGAGUGAUAAGGAAUCAUCUUUUUAAUAACAGAAUAUUUACUUUAUAGCUUAGCUCAUGUAUUUACUAUAUAGCAUUUGUAGUGAAGAAAUGAACAGAAAAUAAAUGUGGCCCCUCUAUUGCUUUCCUUUUGACAAGGAUUCAUUUUUUACCCAAUUUCUCUUUCCUUUGAGUUUUAGGCUAGCGGACAGCACCAAUUAUGUCAUAACCAUUUACUAGUUUUCCAUAUUUGGUUAUCAAAUUUGUUAUGUUUGUAUCCUUAAUGUGAUAGGUUUCAGUGCGAUCUUAUAUAUUUUGAUGAGAUGGGGAUCCCAAAGUAUAGUAGUUUGUAAAAAUUAAAUUCACAAUUGUAAUAUCUUUCCAUUGAUACUGUACUUUACAAUAUUUCUUGAAUUUUUUGUCGUUGAGUUUUACAUAUACUUUCUUAACUUGUUUCUAUGCCUAAUCAGUAUCUCUCUCUGUUCCCUUCCAUGUUGGAACCAUGGUGAUAAUAGAUGAAGGUAGUUGAUGAUUCAAGAUCAAUACUUCAUCGGAUAGUUGAUUCCUUUCUGAAUAAAUUUUUUCCCACUGGAUAUCCUUACAGUGUGAAUGAGGGAUACCUUAAAUACACACAAUUUCGGGCGCUGCAGCACUUCUCCAGUGCAGCAUUGUCUGUGCUGUCAACUCAGUCGCUGCUAUUUGCUGCAGGCUUGCGUCCUACACCUGCACAAUCAACAGCUGUAAGCUGGGUAUUGAGGGAUGGGAUGCAGCAUGUGGGAAAGCUGAUAUGUAGCAAUUUGGGUGCUAGAAUGGAUUCAGAACCAAAACGUUGGAGAAUACUGGGUUUCUUUCUUAUCUUUGGAAUAUUCAUUUUUUCCCUCGUUUUCAUGCUCAAUUUCACAUUUUGAGUGUGAGCUGGAGUUGGCCCAAGUCAUGCAUUACUUUUACAAGGUUUCUAACUAGAAGGAGCUGUCCAUAUUUCAGCUGAUGUGCUCUAUGAUUUGGGAACUGGCUUAGAAGUUCUUUCUCCCUUAUGUCCUCAUCUUUUCCUUGAGGUGGCUGGCGUUGGUAAUUUUGCAAAGGUCUGUUUCUAAUUAUUAACAACUUUAUCUGGACAAAAUUAAAAUGUUAAGGUAGCUCAUUUGAAUUUUUUUGGGUUUCUUGUUCUUCUUGUUCUUUUCUGCAAUUAAUUCUUCCAUGGUUGCUGAGAAUGUGCUUUCCCUUCUCCAAUUUCUCUGUACUCCUUCCUUUUUACCCUUUCCUCUAUAUUGAUUUUAGUUGCUCGUUAAAUUUUAUAGGGGAUGGCAGUAGUUGCAGCAAGAGCAACAAGGCUACCAAUAUAUUCAUCAUUUGCUAAAGAAGGCAAUCUUAGUGACCUAUGUGCUAAAGGGGAGGCCAUUUCAACACUUUUCAAUGUUGUUGGAAUGGGAGCAGGAAUUCAAUUAGCAUCUACUAUUUGUUCAUCAAUGCAGGGGAAGAUGAUUGUGGGCCCCCUUCUUUCCAUUGUACAUGUUUAUAGUGUCAUUGAAGAAAUGCGAGCUGCCCCUGUCAAUACACUAAAUCCUCAGAGGACAGCCAUGGUUGUGGCUGAUUUUGUGAAGACUGGAAAGAUAUCAAGUCCUGCUGAUCUAAGAUACUGUGAAAAUCUCAUAUUUCCUGGGAGACUAGUAGAAGAUGCUGGCAAUGUAAAAGUGGGACGGGCUUUGCACGAAGUUUUUACGCCUUCAAAACUUCAUGAAGUUAAAGAUAUGUUCCCGGAAGAGAAGUUUCUUUUGAAUUGUGGGAAUAAAUGGAGUGACAUGGUACUAGAACAAAAUGCUUCAGGUGAAGAUGCAUUGAGGGGAUGGCUGGUUGCUGCAUAUGCUGCAAGCAUGAAGAAGUAUUCUCAUGAAUCUAGCAACAUUGUACUGCAAGAUGCUUAUCUGAAAAUGAAUAGCAUAUUUGAUUCAUUCUUGUCUGAACUGCAGGCCAAAGGGUGGCAUACCGAUCGCUUUUUGGAUGGAACAGGUAGCCGUUUUUCAUGGUAGCAUUUUCUAGAUUUGAAUGAUAGUCCGUCCACUCCCUUCAGAUUCUUGGUUUAAAAUGAGUAGGGCAGCUGGUUAACGUGUUUAUAUAAUAGAAAUGUAUUUUAUUCAGGGAAGUGGCAUUGUGCAACUAUGUUGAACUAUUUUUCCACACCCUUGUCAUUCAAGAUUGUCCUGACCAGCUUUUGCUUACGAGUUAUUGACUGCUGGUUGGGCUCUUCUAAUUGUAAGUCCAAGAGCCUGACCAAAUUACUUUUGGUGCAACACCAGUUUAUGAUUCAAUUGUUUACUUAGAAAUUACAAUGUACUUUCAUAUUUCUGUAUUAAUUAGUGAAGUUACUAUGGAUUAUAUGUUUCAG
rnacentral:misc_RNA from 1 species